rnacentral:lncRNA from 1 species
CGCUGACUGUGGACUCCAGGUUCCCCGAAGAGCCGCUGAUCAGGGACGAGUGUUGGGGGCACUGGCAGAUUCGCGUGGGGGGAAGGUGGGCUGGCCAGGAGACAGCCUGCUGAUCACCCUCUGACCUCAGCAAAGCUCUUCCCUGUCUUUCUCCAGCUCAUUUUUCAGACUGCAAAUGGACCGGACUGCAUGAAGAGGUUAAAACAUUUCUGGAUUGUGUGGAGGGAAUGUCCUUAGCCCUUUGAGGUUGAUUGCAGGGGGUCUUUUGAAAGCAGAGGGUUCUCUUCAGCUGGGAGCAGAGGAGAAAGCCAGAGAGAUUCAAAGCACAAGAAGGACUUGACCUGAGGUGCUGGCUUGAAGACGUAGGGGGCAUGUGACGAGGAAUGCGGGGUUCUCCAGGAGUUGAGAGUGACCUCACCUGGCAGGCAAAGGAAAUGGAGACCCCAAUCGCACAGCCACAGAGAAAUGAAUUCUGCCGACAAUGUGAAUGAGCCGGAAAGCAGAUUCUCCCCCAGGACCUCCAGAGCCUUAUGAGGAGUAGACUCAGGCUGUCACCUCGACUCGACUGAUGACCUCAAGGAGGAAGGAUGGAUAUGACCCAACGUCACAGGUGAUCCCCACCAGUGAAUGUUCCAGAAGCUUCCAUGGAGCUCUUGGAGACGUGGCUCACACACAGGGCAAAGCUCCUUUGCCGUGGUCAGCUCUGCCUUUAUAUGCAGCCCCUCACUGCCCGCCUAUCUUCA